GAGUUUGAACCUGGCUCAGGAUGAACGCUGGCGGCGUGCCUAACACAUGCAAGUCGAACGGAGACGGAGCUGGAAGGGACAGUUUACUGUAACGGAAAGACCUGUCUUAGUGGCGGACGGGUGAGUAACGCGUGGGCAACCUGCCCUGUACCGGGGGAUAACACUUAGAAAUAGGUGCUAAUACCGCAUAAUAGGGAAUACCGCAUGGUAAUCCUUUGAAAACUCCGGUGGUACAGGAUGGGCCCGCGUCUGAUUAGCCAGUUGGCGGGGUAACGGCCCACCAAAGCGACGAUCAGCAGCCGGCCUGAGAGGGUGGACGGCCACACUGGGACUGAGACACGGCCCAGACUCCUACGGGAGGCAGCAGUGGGGAAUAUUGCACAAUGGGGGGAACCCUGAUGCAGCGACGCCGCGUGAGUGAAGAAGUAUUUCGGUAUGUAAAGCUCUGUCAGCAGGGGAGAAGAAAGACGGUACCUGACCAAGAAGCCCCGGCUAACUACGUGCCAGCAGCCGCGGUAAUACGUAGGGGGCAAGCGUUAUCCGGAUUUACUGGGUGUAAAGGGAGCGUAGACGGCAGGGCAAGUCUGGAGUGAAAGGCAGGGGCCCAACCCCUGGACUGCUCUGGAAACUGUCCGGCUGGAGUGCAGGAGAGGUAAGUGGAAUUCCUAGUGUAGCGGUGAAAUGCGUAGAUAUUAGGAGGAACACCAGUGGCGAAGGCGGCUUACUGGACUGUA
rnacentral:rRNA from 1 species